GUAGUUUGCCUUCUCAAACAAGGGUUGAGAAGACCCACUUGGAAGAGCUUGGGAUACCACGCUCUCAAGCAAAGCCAACGCUCUUAAGCAAAGUCAAGUCAAGAGUAAACUCUCUUUCCUCUGUUUUUAUUCUAUGCCUCGCUUAUCUCAAUAGCCCCAUUCUCUACUCUUUUCCUCUUUUUUCAAUUGCAGAAGUGAACGUGAGAUAGCAACCAUAUAGCAUGGCAGAAUCGGCGAGGGCAUGGCCGGUGGGAGUCAGAUUCAAACCGACGGAGGACCAGCUUGUCGGUCAUUACUUGACAAAAAAGCUCAAAUGAAAGGAAACUGUUUGUGAAAUUCCCGAGCUAGACAUCUACAACUUGGAGCCUUCAGAGUUAUUUGCACGAUACAAUGAAUUGUCAAGUCUCCCGUUGGAUGGAAACGAGGGUUUCUUCCUUUGUCCCCGUGGUCAUAAGAGGAAGAGGAAGACCAAGGGCGGGUUUUGGAAAGAGACAUGUGCCAAACGUGUUAUACAAGCACCCGACACCGGUGAGCAGAUAGGGCUCAGAAGGAGCUUGGUUUACCACAAAGGUCGACAAAGAGAUGCCCAUAGGACCAACUCACAUAUGUACGAAUAUCACCUAAAAUCGAAUGUUUCGGAUAGCGAAAUUUCGGACCCGGUACUCGACUUCUCUUCUUUUGCUUCCCCUAAUUGAGCAUCUCUAACGUCGUUACAAGUGCAGGCAGCGUGGGUUCUCUGUCACAUUAUAAACAAGAAAAGUAAGAAAGCAAAGUCAGCAACAGCGAGUACUUCAACUGAUUUAAGCCGCCCUAGUAAUCUGAACGAUUCCCAAAAUGAAGAAACACAAGAUAUUAGUGCACAGGCAUCUCCUGGAGUUACUGUUGAAUUCCCCUUUCCGAACGAGAUGUCGAAUUCUAAUUUGCCAAUUCCUGAUCAGCAGCCUCAAAUGAGCGAAGAGCAAUAUUUGUCUCAUGAUGAUUGUCAACAUGAUGACAAACCUAGUGAUGGAUUUUGGUGUAAGUCAUAUUCGCCAAGCGAUGGUAUUGAUCUCGCAGAUCUCUUUAACGAGAGCACUGAUCAGUAUUCUAAACUAGAGGAUAAUACCAGUGUUUGAGGUCCUUUAUAGAUGUUAAUCUCAGCCUCACUUAUUUUAUCAGUGAUUAUGCCGUGUACCAACUAUGCUUCUCCUGGGAUAGGACAUUUGUCAAUCUUGUACCCUUUUACAUUGUAUUAUUAUUGUUGUUGUUGUUUCCUUACAAUUUGGGUAUUUAUCUUGAUCUUAUCUACUCAA